rnacentral:rRNA from 1 species
UACGUAGGGUGCGAGCGUUGUCCGGAAUUAUUGGGCGUAAAGGGCUCGUAGGCGGUCUGUUGCGUCAGGAGUGAAAACUCGGGGCUUAACCCCGAGCCUGCUUCUGAUACGGGCAGACUAGAGGUAUGCAGGGGAGAACGGAAUUCCUGGUGUAGCGGUGAAAUGCGUAGAUAUCUGGAGGAACACCGGUGGCGAAGGCGGCAUUCUGGACCACAACUGACACUGAGAGACGAAAGCCAGGGGAGCAAACGGG